AGAGAGGUUGAAGGAGGCUCCUCCUCCAGAGGGGGCUGAGAUCUUACCCAGGGUGACAUCUUCAUGAUAAAACCAGUACAGGAUUGGGGAGGAGCCUCUCAGGGCCUCACAGUGAAGCUCCAGCUGGUCCCCCACCACAGCCUGGGCCCUGGGAGCCCUGAAGGUGAGGAUGGGACGAGACACUGGAACUGAGGGAGGAAAAACGUUAUGUAUCAGCUGCUUCUGCUAAAAUAUAUUCCUUCAUGCUAAAGACAUUUCAAAUGGAAGAAUGUUUUUCUCAGUUUUUAAUGCCCUUGUGACAUUACUCAAAACUCAGCAACAUUUUCAGAUCUCCAGAAAGAACAACAUUUGUGUAGUGCUAUAAACAGCUUGGAAUACUGGAAUAUACAAACUCAAAUGUGUUUGAAGAAUGUGAAAACAAAGAUUAAACUGAAACUCAGGUGUCUUAGAGGUAAAAAGACAGUUGGAGAGUGGAGAAAUCAGUUCAACAGAAAAUGAAGAACAAGAGAGACUUGCUGCUUACAUCACCAGGGAUGUAAUUGCAUCUGGGCUGCAUCAGAAAUAGGGCCCACAAGAGAAUGAGUAUUGUCAAGUUAUUUGCUCAUUUUUACAUUCAUUUAUCCAUCAAAAAUUAAUUGAACAAAAAUUUUCAAAAAAAUUGAGCAAAAAUAAAAAUUAAUUGAGCAUUUAAUAAGUCCCCAAAAUGGCAUGACAUGCUAGGGAAUCAGUGAUGAGAAAGACAUAGUUGCUGCUCUCAUAGAGCCUACAAUCCAGAAGGAUGAGAGGCAGCAAUUAAAUAAAAAUACAGUAAAUUACAAUUAAAACUUUGAUAAUUGAUAAAGGACAGGGUACUAUGAAAUGUAUGUGUUAGUCAAGGAAAGCUUCCUCACAAAAUGACCUUUGAAAUUAACAUUGAAAUUAACCAGUUGAUGAUGGAGGUGGAGAGUGCACCAGGCAGGCAAACAGUAUGUGCAAAGGCCCUGAGUUGGGAAUAAGACUGGCGCAUUUGAAUUAUUGAAAUAAAGUAGCAUCACACUGAGAAGAGUCUGCAAACUACCAUGAAAUAGGAGACUGGAGAUCUAGGCUGGACUUCAUAAGCCAUGAAAGGAUUUUCAUCCUUCUUCACAGAGCAAUGGGAAGUCUAUCAGUCUAUCUAUGCAGGGCUGUGAGAUGAUCAAAUCUGUCCCUUUUAAAAGACCAUUUUGACCUCUGUGCAUGAAAUGGACUGUGGUGGAAUGGAAGUGGAAUUGAGGGAUAGAUGAGUGGCACUGCAGUAGUCAAAAUGAUGGUGGACUUGUCUAGAUAGAGGUGGUAGAGAUAGAGACCCAAGAAAUAUUUAGGAAGUCAAAUCAACAGGACUUAAUGAUUAACUGGCUGUGAGGGGUGAGGAAGAGAAAUGUUGAGGAAGACUCCUCUUUUCCUGCUUUGUGUAUCUGUUGAGAAGAGAUGUGUUUCACAGAGGUAGGAACCCUUGAAAGAGGAAGGGAAUGUCAGCAGUUCAGUUUUAGAAAUGCUGAGAUUGAUGUGCUUUUGAGAUAUUUGAGUGAAGAUAUGUCAUGUGCAGAUGCUCAAGUGGGAGGUCCCUUUUAGAGAUAGAAGUUUAGGAAUCAUUAUUUAUAGAUGACAAGGCCAUUUAUACAUGACAUACCCAGGAUCAUCCAGAGAAAGGAUUUAGAUAAGAGAAGAGGGCAUAAGUCAAAGUUCUGGAACAUGCCAAUGCUUAAAGGUUUUCUAUAAAAGGAGGAGCCAGUAAAGAAGACUGAGAAGAAGUGGCCAGGGAGAGAAGAGAGCCAGAAGAAGAUAGAUUCACUGAAGGGAGGGUUUCAAGCAGGAAGAAAUGGUAAACAACAUGUAAUAUAUCUGAGAUGUCAAGGAAGAUGAGGAUUGAAAAAUGGCCAUUGGAUUUAAAGCCUUGAAGGUCAUCAGUGACCUUUGUGAGAAACAUUUUGGUGGAGAGGUUGGAAAAACCUAGUAGAUUGGAGCCUAGUGGAUAAUGAGGACAUGGAGACAGUCUGGGUAACUGACUGUUUUUGGAAGUUUAGCCAUGAAGGGGUAGUGUAUGGAGGUAUAAGUGGGACCAAGAGAGGGUUUUCCUUGGAUAUGGGAGAGAUAUACCAUGUUACAUGCCAGUGCAAAGGAUCCUACAGAGACAGAGAUGUUGGGGGCCACAGAAGAGAAAGGGAUAAUCAGUUACAUAGCUUCUGAGAAUGCACAAAAUGAUGAAAUCUGGAGACCAGAUGGAGAUGUUCACCUAUGGGGAGGGAAGUCCUCUCCUCUAUAUUUUAGGAAAAGGACAGAUGAGUUACUGGGUGGAUACAGAACUAGACACUCAAUUUGGUGGUGGGAGUGGAGGGGGUUAUUGUCUAGUGGAGUAGGAAUUAGUGGAGGUAUUAAUGACCUGGGAGUUCUGUUGAGGUCUGAGAACAAUAGUGAUAGGAGGAGCUGACGCAAGCAGAAGGCCAGGGGGUGGUUGUCAGAUAAUAAGGGCUUAAAAUUGUCCUUUUGGAGAUGAAGUAGUGUAUGUAUGUGGGAGUGGCUGACUGGUGUGGAGAGGACAGGCCAUGGUGUUAAGGGGGUUAUACAUGUGACCAUGAGAGUCAUGAAAUGAUGGCAGAUUGUGGAGUAUGGAGAAAGACUGAAAGUACAGUGCCAAAGCCUUCACUGAGAGUGAGCAUAACUAGGAGUCUGCCUGUGACAAGGAUGCAUGGAAGAUCUUGAUGUUGCUGAAUGGAACAGGAGCAGCCAGAACAAUCAGACAAGAGAAAGAAAUAAAGGACAUCCAAAUUGGUAAAGAGGAAGAAGUCAAACUGUUGCUGUUCACUGAUGACAUGAUUGUAUACCUAGGAAACCCUAAAGACUCAUCCAAGAAGCUCCUAGAUCUGAUAAAUGAAUUCAGUAAAGUUUCAGGAUACAAAAUCAAUGUACACAAAUCAUUGUGUAUAUUGUGUAUAUAGUAACACUGCUAUACACCAACAGUGACCAAGCUGAGAAUCAAAUAAAAAAUUCAAACUUGUUUAUGACACCUACAAAAAAUAAAAUACUUAGAAAUACACCUUCACAAGUAAGUGAAAGAUAUCUAUAAGAAAAACUACAAAACACUGGUGUAAGAAAUCGCAGAUGACACAAUCAAAUGGAAACACAUCCCAUUCUCAUGGAUGGGUAGAAUCAAUAUUGUGAAAAUGGCCAUCUACCAAAAGCAAUCUAUAAAUUCAAUGCAAUUCCCAUCAAAAUACCACCAUAAUUCUUCACAGAGCUAGAGAAAACAAUCCUAAUAUUCAUAUGGAACAAAAAAAAGAGCCUACAUAGCCAAAGCAAGACUAAGCAAAAAGAACAAAUCUGGAGGCAUCACAUUACCUGACUUUGAACGAUACUACAAGGCUAUAGUUACCAGAACAGCAUGGUACUGGUAUAAAAACAGACAGGUAGACCAAUGGAAGGAGAGAACACAGAAAUAAAGCCAAAUACUUACAGCCAACUGAUCUUUGAUAAAGGAAACAAAAACAUAAAGUGAGGAAAGAACACCCUAUGCAACAAAUGGUGCUGGCAUCAUUGGCAAGCCACAUGUAGAAGAAUGAAACUGGAUCCUCAUCUCUCACCUUACACAAAAAUCAACUCAAGAUGGAUCAAAGACAUAAAUCUGAGACCCAAAACCAUAUAAACCCUGGAAUAUACUUAAAAAAACUCUUCUAGACAUUAGCUUAGGCAGAGUUCAUGACCAAGAACCCAAAACAAAUACAACAAAAACAAUAAUAAAUAGAUGGGUCUGAAUUAAAUUUAAAAACUUCUGCACAGCAAAAGAAAUAAUCAGCAGAGUAAACAGACAACCCACAGAGUGGGAGAAAAUAUUCACAGACUAUGCAUCUGACAUGGGACCAGUAUCCAGAAUCAACAAAGUACUCAAACAAAUCAUCAGGAAAAAACAAUCACAUCAAAAAGUGGGCAAAGGACAUGAAUAGAAUAUUUUCAAAAGAAGAUACACAAAUUGCCAGCAAACACGUAAACGUGCUCAUCACUAUCAAGGAAAUUGAAAUCAAAACCACAAUGCGAUACCACCUUACUCCUGCAAGAAUGGUCAUAAUUAAAAAAACAAAAAAUAAUAGAUGUUGGCAUGAAUGUGGUGUAAAGGGAACAGUUUUACACUGUGGUGGGAAUGUAAACUAUUACAACCACUAUGAAAACAGUAUGGAGAUUCCUUAAAGAACUAAAAGCAGAACUACCAUUUCAUCCAGCAAUCCCACUACUGGGUAUCUACCCAGAGGAAAAGAAGUCGUUAUAUGAAAAAGACACUUGCACAAACGUGCUUAUAGCAGCACAACUCAUGAUUGCAAAACUAUGGAACCAGCCCAAAUGUCCAUCAAUUAAGGGGUGGAUAAAGAAAAUGUGAUACAUACGUGUGUGUGUGUGUGUGUGUGUACACUAUGGAAUACUACUCAGCCAUAAAAAGGAACAAAAUAAUGGCAUUCACAGCAAUCUAGAUGGAGUUGGAGACCAUUAUUCUAAGUAACUCAGGAAUGGAAAACCAAACAUUGUAUGUUCUCACUUAUCAGUGGGAGCUAAGCUAUGAGGACGCAAAGGCCUACGCAUAAUAUAAUAGAUUCUGGGGAUUCAGUGGAAGAGUGAGAGUGGGGUGAUGGAUAAAGUACUACACACUGGGUUCAGUGUACACUGCUCUGGCAACGAGUGCACCAAAAUCUCGGAAAUUACUACUAAAGAAGUUACUCAUGUAACCAAACACCACCUGGUCCCCAAAACUACUGAAAUUUUUAAAAAAAUGAAAAACCCAGCUAUUCAUUUAAUAAAAUCAAACUUUACAGAA